rnacentral:lncRNA from 1 species
UGCAACCCUCCUGAACACCUUUCCUUUGCUCACCUGUCCAAUUCAAUUAAAUAAAGGCUAUAUUUUUAAGACAUCCUUAACAGAAGAACGAAGAAUUAGACCAGUCACCUUAAGGCUCACUGCCCAAAGGCACUUCAACAUUAAUAAAAAAAAAAAAAAACAAACAAAACAAAAAACCUGAACAAAAUGAAUGAGCUCAUUCAGUAUCAUCACUAUGCGAUCUGUGUCGGUUAGGUAAAGACUAAAAGACCCAGGGGCCUUUGCUACAGGACUCUGUGCUCUGCAAACAGCUUAAGUGCACCUUAAAGUACAGAGGGAGUAACCACAUGACCUUGACCUGUGAGGGUGCAGGGAGGAACCUAGGGCUGUGUGAAGAGCAUUUCAAGUUACUACAGAAGGAUUAUUCCCACCAUUUCACCAGCACUGUUAAAACAAACGAGUGUUCCCCAGACGCAGGUCAUUUCUGUUCUGCUUCUUUUAAAAUUAUUUUUGUCUUGUUUCUGUACGUGUGGAGUUUUUUUUUCCCCCCCAAUGGCUGAUUUAAAAAUCGAUCUAAAAGAUAGCCUUACCGGUACAAGUACGAUUGUUAUUAUAUACAUAUUUAUUUGCCAACUCAAAACUCAUUUCCAGUUUCGAAUGUUCGAAUGCUAAAGAGCUGACCAAAACAGGCAGGAAUAAUCGACUUCGACGUCGGUAGAAAUAUAUUCUACUAAAGUUACGUGGGACAGGCACUUUCUACAGCGUGCGGAGAGGGCUCUAAGCUCCUAACAUAAAAAAUGGAAAGGUGGUUACUGAGCUUCCAAGAAAUGAUGUGUGAGGCACUCUCACCUCCAACCCGGCUCUUCCCAUAGACAGGGAGAGGAGCUGCGAACUCACGUGAGACUGCGCACCCGGCUUACCUGUGCCAACUACACCUAGGCACCCCGAUGUGCAACCCUGGAAAGAAACAACCCUGGAAAAGCUAGUGUGAAAAACGGUGCACUAUCCUGCCCGCUUGCAGCUGUACCCCUACGUUGGGGGAUCCAGGACAGUCCGGAUCCUGACACGGACGUCCCAGGAUCACAACGUCCUGACCCAGGAGUGGCUCAAAACAGCGC